UUCAUUUUGACGUUUAGCUGCAGAAGAAGCACCGGCUAACUCCGUGCCAGCAGCCGCGGUAAUACGGAGGGUGCGAGCGUUAAUCGGAAUUACUGGGCGUAAAGCGCAUGCAGGUGGUUUGUUAAGUCAGAUGUGAAAGCCCCGGGGCUCAACCUCGGAAUUGCAUUUUGAAACUGGCAAACUAGAGUACUGUAGAGGGGGGUAGAAUUUCAGGUGUAGCGGUGAAAUGCGUAGAGAUCUGAAGGAAUACCGGUGGCGAAGGCGGCCCCCCUGGACAGAUACUGACACUCAGAUGCGAAAGCGUGGGGAGCAAACAGGAUUAGAUACCCUGGUAG
rnacentral:rRNA from 1 species